AGCUCCAAUGGCGUAUAUUAAAGUUGCUGCGGUUAAAAAGCUCGUAGUUGGAGUUCUGCCGAGGAAGACUGGUCCGCCCUCUGGGUGAGUAUCUAGAUUGGCCUGGGCAUUUUCUUGGAGAAAGUGGUUGCGCUUGGCUGUGUGGCGCGGUAUCCAGGACCUGUACUUUGAGGAAAUUAGAGUGUUUCAAGCAGGCCCACGCCUUGUAUACAAUAGCAUGGAAUACUACGAGAGGAUCUCAGUUCUACUGUGUUGGUUCGCAGAGCUGCGGUAAUGGUUAAUAGGGAUGGCUGGGGGUGUUUGCACUUAAUUGUCAGAGGUGAAAUUCUUGGAUUUGUUAAAGACGGACAACUGCGAAAGCAUUCGCCAAGGAUGUUCUCA
rnacentral:rRNA from 1 species